GGGCAAGAUAUGCAGGGCGCACGGCGGAUGCCUUGGCGCAGGGAGACGACGAAGGGCGCGGCAAGCCGCGAUAGUCCCGGGGGAGGCGCACACGGCCUUCGAUCCCGGGGUACCCGAAUGGGAGAACCCGACGGCAGAGGUGCCGUCAUCCCCCCUCCGAACACAUAGGAGGGGGGAGGGCAACCCGGGGAACUGAAACAUCUAAGUACCCGGA
rnacentral:rRNA from 1 species